rnacentral:rRNA from 1 species
UGGGGUUAAUACCGGAUAGUGCAUCGAUUGCUGGAAUGCACGAUGUACGAAAGCUGAGGCGCCCAAGGAUAGGUCUGUGGCCGAUUAGGUUGUUGUUGAUGUAACGGACCAACAAGCCUACGAUCGGUACGGGUUGUGAGAGCAAUAGCCCGGAGAUGGGUUCUGAGAGAAGAACCCAGGUCCUACGGGACGCAUCAGGCGCGAAAACUUUACAAUGUGCGAAAGCACGAUAAGGGAACUCUGAGUGCCUCCUAAGGAGGCUGUUCAGAUGUUUAAAAAGCAUCUGGAGGAAGGGCUGGGCAAGACCGGUGCCAGCCGCCGCGGUAACACCGGCAGCCCAAGUGGUAGUCAUGCUUACUGGGUCUAAAGCGUCCGUAGCCGGCCGGGUAAGUUCCUUGGGAAAUUUGAUCGCUUAACGAUCAAGCUACCUGGGAAUACUACUUGGCUUGGGACCGGGAGAGGUCAGAGGUACUUCAAGGGUAGGGGUGAAAUCCGUUAAUCCUUGGGGGACCACCAGUAGCGAAGGCGUCUGAUCAGACCGGAUCCGACGGUGAGGGACGAAGGCUAGGGGAGCGAAGCGGAUUAGAUACCCGCGUAGUCCUAGCUGUAAACGAUGCGGGCUAGGUAUUGGCAUUACUGCGAGUGAUGCCAGUGCCGAAGGGAAGCCGUUAAGCCCGCCAUCUGGGGAGUACGGUCGCAAGGCUGAAACUUAAAGGAAUUGGCGGGGAGCACC